CGUUUCCUCCCCCGCCGCCCCGCGCUUCCUUCCCCGCCGCUGCGGCCCUUCCUCCCCCGCACCCCCACCAUCGCCGGCAUCCUCGCUCCCCUGCUCCACCACCGUCGCGGCAACCUCCCCAGAUCCCCGCCACUGCGCGACCUCCCAGACCUCCCCACCGCCGCGCCACAACCGGACCCCUGACCUCCCUACCACCGCCACGGCCGCACCCCGCCUCCUCCACCGUCGUCGGAGUUCCUCCUCCCCCGUCGCCAGAGAGCCACCUCCCAAGGCACCUCCCUCCUCCAGCCCCGACACGCGUGACCCAUCGGACGUCGCACCUGCCUCUCGCUGCUCCGCUCCCUGGCUGCCGGCGAGCCAUCCGCCAUGCUCCCCGGACACCGGCGAGGCAUCCGCCCCGUCCCGCUCCCCAGCCGAAACCCAGGACCCCCCGUUUCUCCUACCUCUAUCCGACCUUCCAUCUGCUCGUGGUCGGGCGCCUCUAUCCUCCUAUCCGGCUGCUAUAGGUGAACAAAACGGGGUUAUCUUCUCAUCUCCUCCCCGACGGCUGUAGACAAGCAGAGAAACACAUUCUUUCUAUCUUCUUCUCUUGAUUUUCUUGGGACGUUCGGAUAGUACUCAUCGGCCAGGUCGAACAAAAUUCUCGUGCAAGGUCGAACAAGAUUGUUGGAAUUCCUCUUGCUUUUUUAGAAUAGCUUCAAUUCGAUGUGUGCAUGCUCAUGUGUGUCGAUAUGUGUGUGUGCGCUCGCGUGCUCUGCCGGCAGAGGCAUGCACAUCCUCAUCCUCCCGUUGCAGUCCAGAUUGGUGUGCAAGCAUCCGUACAGAUAAGAACAUUGUUGUAAACUCUAUUAUAUAUUUCAGGGGAAGAUUUCAGAUGUUGAUAUUCGCCGACGCUCCCGCCUGGCUUGCCAGUGCCUGCCGUGCGGUCGAUCUUGCUUGCGCCGUUUUUCUACGACACACGAUUUGUGGAUGAGAUUGUUGGGAGCUGACACAGCCACACAUGGUAGCAGGCGGGUAGCGUCUGCUCUGCUGCCACACAUGGAUUUCUUUCAGGGCCUGGGUUUCUCAUGCUUGCCUACUUCCAUCAUGAGUCAUGGCAGACGAACCACACUUGAGGAACAAGUUGCAACUAACGAGAGGUCAGCAACAAGUUCACUAGUAGGGGUUGCUGAAGUUCUUGAGGAGGUCCGGGAUGUCGUGCGCGAGCAUGUCGUCCACGGCCUGCACCAUCUUGGGCGUGAUCUUCUCAAACUUGUCGAUGCUGUACCGAGUCAGCACCUGCUUCAAGUGCUCCACAUCGAGGAAGUCGCCCGCCAGAAGGUGGUACUCCCUCUGGACCUGUUUCCAAUACAUCUCAGGUGUCAAUGGAGCGAGCACAUUGUGCAGAAAAGAGGCAACUUAUUAAUCAAGAUGCAAGCGUAGCUGAAUAUCAUUUGGUUUCAUCUUGGGACGCAGUUUUGUAUGGAAGUACCUUUGCAAACUCAUCUUGUAAGUUGUCAACAAGUCGCUGUUGAGCCUUGGCUUUCCCCAGCAUUGCAGGCAUCUCCUUCUUCAGUUGGCCAAUUAUGUAAGCAUGGAUCUUCGCAGCUCAAGCACGCUUCAC